UCUCGUGGAACAUUCAACGCUGUCGGUGAGUUUUGUCACUGGGGUCAAACCAUCGACUGUUGAGUGUACCUUGUGG